UACGUAGGGUGCAAGCGUUGUCCGGAAUUAUUGGGCGUAAAGGGCUCGUAGGCGGUCCAUCGCGUCGGGGGUGAAAAGCUGGGGCUUAACCCCAGUCCUGCUUCCGAUACGGGUGGACUAGAGGUAGGUAGGGGAGAACGGAAUUCCUGGUGUAGCGGUGAAAUGCGCAGAUAUCAGGAGGAACACCGGUGGCGAAGGCGGUUCUCUGGGCCUUACCUGACGCUGAGGAGCGAAAGCAUGGGGAGCAAACAGG
rnacentral:rRNA from 1 species